rnacentral:rRNA from 1 species
UACAGAGGUCCCAAGCGUUGUUCGGAUUCACUGGGCGUAAAGGGUGCGCAGGUGGUUUGGCAAGUUUGACGUGAAAGCCCCGGGCUUAACCCGGGAAUGGCGUUGAAAACUGCUUGAACUGGAGGGUUGGAGGGGGGACUGGAAUUCUUGGUGUAGCAGUGAAAUGCGUAGAUAUCGAGAGGAACACCAGUGGCGAAGGCGAGUCCCUGGACACUUCCUGACACUGAGGCACGAAAGCUAGGGGGAGCAAACAGG